rnacentral:rRNA from 1 species
ACGGAAGGUCCGGGCGUUAUCCGGAUUUAUUGGGUUUAAAGGGAGCGUAGGCCGGAGAUUAAGCGUGUUGUGAAAUGUAGAUGCUCAACAUCUGCACUGCAGCGCGAACUGGUUUCCUUGAGUACGCACAAAGUGGGCGGAAUUCGUGGUGUAGCGGUGAAAUGCUUAGAUAUCACGAAGAACUCCGAUUGCGAAGGCAGCUCACUGGGGCGCAACUGACGCUGAAGCUCGAAAGUGCGGGUAUCGAACAG